UGGACUUUUGACCCUAUACUGCCGCCUCGAUUUCCGGUGGUAUUGCUCCGGUUCUCCCGGAGCACUCCAGAUUCGUAAGCUCAGAGGCGACGGACCCAUUUACGGACGAAACACCUCCGGGACCGGACGAAACUGUCCGUAUCCGUAUUUACCGUAGGGUGUGAAUGGGCCUUAAGUGUUUUGCUCACACUAUAAAUCUUGCAACCCAAGCUGGCCUCGGUGUUCCCCGCGUCGCUCGUUAGCUCGGGCGGGUGAGACGUGUGGCUGCUUUUUUUGAUCGGAGUUCAACGGCUACCGCGGUGUUAAUGUCCAAGCAGAAACAGCUACAAUUGCCAUCACACAAGUUAAUCAUGGACGUUAAGACGCGAUGGAACAGCACGUUGGAUAUGCUGGCUCGUUACCUUGAGCAGCAAGCUGCCAUAUCAGCAGCUCCCACCAGCCAAAGGAUAAGACAAAACGCCUGAAGCAUUGAUACACUUGACAGCUGCGAUGUCAGAGAUGCUGAAGACCUUGUGAAGCUGCUGCAUCCUUUGAAGACAGCCACCACAGUGUUGUGUGAGGAGAAGAGUCCCACCGUGUCUCAUUGUGCCACUGAAGAGCAUGAUUGAUCAGAACAUGACACCAAAUGAUGGAGAUUCCACCACCGUGGCCAACACAAAGACUGCAAUCCUCACGAAUAUUGCAAACAGAUAGUGGGGAUGCCUUCAACUAUCUGCUGGAGUGCACGGUACUGGACCCAAGGUUCCGGACUCUACCUCAGCUAGACCAUGACCAGUGUGAGGCCGUCUUCCAGAGGCUUCUCCACCGAGCCGCGGACCAGUCGAGUGAUUCAUUCAGGCAACGAACCAGUUGCUGCUUCGGACGUCACAUGUCACGUGACUUUUUUUACUCUGAAGCAAGCUUCGAAGCAGUGCUUCUUGGGAGUUGUAGAUCAGGGUUUGAAGCACGUACUGAAGCUUCAGCGUCACACUGCCAUCACUAGUCCUACCCCCUCUCCUUCAACGCUGACUCUGACUCCACCCAUUCCAAGUACAUGGAUGCGCAAUCAUGCACGAGCGCGAACACAGAUGCGCGAGAGCGAGCCAUUAGUUAGCUCCAGUAGCUACCGCAGGAUAACAACAAACAGGAGCUUGCUCUGGGUCACGAGCUUUGAGUACGUGCACGAAGGGGUCACGCGCGGG
ensembl:lncRNA